CCUAUGGGUGGCAGCAGUGAGGAAUAUUGGUCAAUGGGCGCGAGCCUGAACCAGCCAAGUAGCGUGAAGGAUGACUGCCCUAUGGGUUGUAAACUUCUUUUAUAAAGGAACAAAGUGAGGCACGUGUGCCUUUUUGUAUGUAUUUUAUGAAUAAGGAUCGGCUAACUCCGUGCCAGCAGCCGCGGUAAUACGGAGGAUGCGAGCGUUAUCCGGAUUUAUUGGGUUUAAAGGGUGCGCAGGCGGAUUAUUAAGUCAGCGGUAAAAUCGUGGGGCUCAACCCCAUCCAGCCGUUGAAACUGGGGAUCUAGAGUGAGCGAGAGGUAUGCGGAAUGCGUGGUGUAGCGGUGAAAUGCAUAGAUAUCACGCAGAACCCCGAUUGCGAAGGCAGCAUACCGGUGCACAACUGACGCUCAGGCACGAAAGCGUGGGUAUCGAACAGGAUUAGAUACCCUUGUAGUC
rnacentral:rRNA from 1 species